UACGUAGGUGGCAAGCGUUGUCCGGAUUUAUUGGGUUUAAAGGGUGCGUAGGCGGCUUUGUAAGUCAGUGGUGAAAUACGGUAGCUCAACUAUCGAGGUGCCGUUGAUACUGCAGAGCUUGAGUACAGAUGAGGUAGGCGGAAUUGACGGUGUAGCGGUGAAAUGCUUAGAUAUCGUCAAGAACUCCUAUAGCGAAGGCAGCUUACUAGGCUGUAACUGACGCUGAGGCACGAAAGUGUGGGGAUCAAACAGG
rnacentral:rRNA from 1 species